AACCCGACUACAUGAAGCUGGAAUCGCUAGUAAUGGCAGGUCAGCAUACUGCCGUGAAUACGUUCCCGGGUCUUGUACACACCGCCCGUCACACCAUGAGAGUUGGCAACACCCGAAGUCAGUAGCCUAACCGCAAGGGGGGCGCUGCCGAAGGUGGGGUUGAUGAUUGGGGUGAAGUCGUAACAAGGUACC
rnacentral:rRNA from 1 species